GAAAUGAAGAUUAUGACGAUAAUGAGCAGGUGAAUGAUGAUGAUCCAUCUGAAGGUUGGGUGAAUAUGGCAGACACUGAGCAAUGUGAGGAUUCUGAGGAAUUUAAGCAACUGGUUCAUGAAGCCUUUUUAGAUUAUUCUAAGAAAUUGAAUUUGAGCUUGGCGGUUCGAAGAAGAUACAAGGAGCAAGGAAAAGCUGGUAGUUUGUUCUGCAUUGUAUGUGGCAGAAGCUCAUCAAGGGAUUUCAUGGACACUCAACGCUUGGUAAC
rnacentral:misc_RNA from 1 species